rnacentral:rRNA from 1 species
UAGCAUAUCAAUAAGCGGAGGAAAAGAAACCAACAGGGAUUGCCCUAGUAACGGCGAGUGAAGCGGCAACAGCUCAAAUUUGAAAUCUGGCUUUCGGGCCCGAGUUGUAAUUUGUAGAGGAUACUUUUGAUGCGGUGCCUUCCGAGUUCCCUGGAACGGGACGCCAUAGAGGGUGAGAGCCCCGUCUGGUUGGAUGCCAAAUCUCUGUAAAGUUCCUUCGACGAGUCGAGUAGUUUGGGAAUGCUGCUCUAAAUGGGAGGUAUAUGUCUUCUAAAGCUAAAUAUUGGCCAGAGACCGAUAGCGCACAAGUAGAGUGAUCGAAAGAUGAAAAGCACUUUGAAAAGAGAGUUAAAAAGUACGUGAAAUUGUUGAAAGGGAAGCGUUUAUGACCAGACUUGGACUUGGUUAAUCAUCUGGGGUUCUCCCCAGUGCACUUUUCCAGUUCAGGCCAGCAUCAGUUUUCGCCGGGGGAUAAAGGCAGCGGGAAUGUGGCUCUCUUCGGGGAGUGUUAUAGCCCGUUGUGUAAUACCCUGGUGGGGACUGAGGUUCGCGCUUCUGCAAGGAUGCUGGCGUAAUGGUCAUCAACGACCCGUCUUGAAACACGGACCAAGGAGUCGUCUUCGUAUGCGAGUGUUCGGGUGUCAAACCCCUACGCGUAAUGAAAGUGAACGCAGGUGAGAGCUUCGGCGCAUCAUCGACCGAUCCUGAUGUUCUCGGAUGGAUUUGAGUAAGAGCAUACGGGGCCGGACCCGAAAGAAGGUGAACUAUGCCUGUAUAGGGUGAAGCCAGAGGAAACUCUGGUGGAGGCUCGCAGCGGUUCUGACGUGCAAAUCGAUCGUCAAAUAUGGGCAUGGGGGCGAAAGACUAAUCGAACCUUCUAGUAGCUGGUUUCCGCCGAU